rnacentral:rRNA from 1 species
UACAGAGGGUGCGAGCGUUUAUCGGAAUUACUGGGCGUAAAGGGUGCGUAGGUGGUUCGAUAAGUCAGAUGUGACAUCCCUGGGCUUAACCUGGGAAUUGCAUUUGAUACUGUCAAACUAGAGUGUGGUAGAGGUAAGCGGAAUUCCCGGUGUAGCGGUGAAAUGCGUAGAUAUCGGGAGGAACAUCAGUGGCGAAGGCGGCUUACUGGACCAACACUGACACUGAGGCACGAAAGCGUGGGUAGCAAACAGG